CUACGGGUUGCACCAGUGGGGGAUAUUGCACAAUGGAGGAAACUCUGAUGCAGCAACGCCGCGUGGAGGAUGACACUUUUCGGAGCGUAAACUCCUUUUAUAUAGGAAGAAGAUGACGGUACUAUAUGAAUAAGCGCCGGCUAACUCCGUGCCAGCAGCCGCGGUAAUACGGAGGGCGCAAGCGUUACUCGGAAUCACUGGGCGUAAAGAGCGUGUAGGCGGAUUAAAAAGUCAGGAGUGAAAUCCUAUAGCUUAACUAUAGAACUGCUUCUGAAACUCUUAAUCUAGAAUAUGGGAGAGGUAGAUGGAAUUUCUGGUGUAGGGGUAAAAUCCGUAGAGAUCAGAAGGAAUACCGAUUGCGAAGGCGAUCUACUAGAACAUUAUUGACGCUGAGACGCGAAAGCGUGGGGAGCAAACAGGAUUAGAUACCCCUGUAGUC
rnacentral:rRNA from 1 species